rnacentral:misc_RNA from 1 species
CCUGUUCGAGCGUCAUUUCACCACUCAAGCCUCGCUUGGUAUUGGGCGUCGCGGGUCCUCCGCGCGCCUCAAAGUCUCCGGCUGAGCGGUUCGUCUCCCAGCGUUGUGGCAACUAUUUCGCAGUGGAGUUCGAGUCGUCGCGGCCGUUAAAUCUUUCAAAGGUUGACCUCGGAUCAGGUAGGGAUACCCGCUGAACUUAA